rnacentral:rRNA from 1 species
UACGUAGGGUGCGAGCGUUGUCCGGAAUUAUUGGGCGUAAAGAGCUUGUAGGCGGUUUGUCGCGUCUGCUGUGAAAAUCCGGGGCUCAACCCCGGACUUGCAGUGGGUACGGGCAGACUGGAGUGUGGUAGGGGAGACUGGAAUUCCUGGUGUAGCGGUGAAAUGCGCAGAUAUCAGGAGGAACACCGAUGGCGAAGGCAGGUCUCUGGGCCAUAACUGACGCUGAGAAGCGAAAGCAUGGGGAGCGAACAGG